rnacentral:rRNA from 1 species
GACGAACGCUGGCGGCGUGCUUAACACAUGCAAGUCGAACGGAAAGGCCCUGCUUUUGUGGGGUGCUCGAGUGGCGAACGGGUGCGUAACACGUGAGUAACCUGCCCUUGACUUUGGGAUAACUUCAGGAAACUGGGGCUAAUACCGGAUAGGAGCUCCUGCUGCAUGGUGGGGGUUGGAAAGUUUCGGCGGUUGGGGAUGGACUCGCGGCUUAUCAGCUUGUUGGUGGGGUAGUGGCUUACCAAGGCUUUGACGGGUAGCCGGCCUGAGAGGGUGACCGGCCACAUUGGGACUGAGAUACGGCCCAGACUCCUACGGGAGGCAGCAGUGGGGAGUAUUGCACAAUGGGCGGAAGCCUGAUGCAGCAACGCCGCGUGCGGGAUGACGGCCUUCGGGUUGUAAACCGCUUUCGCCUGUGACGAAGCGUGAGUGACGGUAAUGGGUAAAGAAGCACCGGCUAACUACGUG